rnacentral:rRNA from 1 species
CCUACGGGAGGCAGCAGUGGGGAAUAUUGGACAAUGGGGGCAACCCUGAUCCAGCCAUGCCGCGUGUGUGAAGAAGGCCUUUUGGUUGUAAAGCACUUUAAGCAGGGAGGAGAGGCUAAUGGUUAAUACCCAUUAGAUUAGACGUUACCUGCAGAAUAAGCACCGGCUAACUCUGUGCCAGCAGCCGCGGUAAUACAGAGGGUGCGAGCGUUAAUCGGAAUUACUGGGCGUAAAGCGAGUGUAGGUGGCUCAUUAAGUCACAUGUGAAAUCCCCGGGCUUAACCUGGGAACUGCAUGUGAUACUGGUGGUGCUAGAAUAUGUGAGAGGGAAGUAGAAUUCCAGGUGUAGCGGUGAAAUGCGUAGAGAUCUGGAGGAAUACCGAUGGCGAAGGCAGCUUCCUGGCAUAAUAUUGACACUGAGAUUCGAAAGCGUGGGUAGCAAACAGGAUUAGAUACCCUGGUAGUCCACGCCGUAAACGAUGUCUACUAGCCGUUGGGGUCCUUGAAGACUUUAGUGGNGCGAGUACGUACGAGUAAGUAGACGCCGCGGGAGGUACGGCCGCGACGUAAACGUAACGAAAGAAGUAGACGGCGUGAGACGAGCGACGGACGACGACGAGGGGAGGUAGG